UCCCUGGUGGCUCACAAGGUUAAAGCGUCUGCCUACGAUGUGGGAGACCUAGGUUCAAUCCCUGGCUCAGGAA
rnacentral:tRNA from 1 species